GCAAGUCGAGGGGUAACAGAUUAGAAGCUUGCUUUUGAUGCUGACGACCGGCGCACGGGUGAGUAACGCGUAUGCAACCUACCUUUAACAGGGGAAUAGCCCGGAGAAAUUCGGAUUAAUGCCCCAUAAUGUAUAAGUAUCACCUGAUAUUUAUAUUAAAGUUUCGGCGGUUAAAGAUGGGCAUGCGUGACAUUAGGUAGUUGGUAAGGUAACGGCUUACCAAGCCUACGAUGUCUAGGGGGCCUGAGAGGGUUAUC
rnacentral:rRNA from 1 species